UACAUUCAUAGCACAUAGCACUUCUGGAUC
rnacentral:piRNA from 1 species